rnacentral:rRNA from 1 species
GACGAACGCUGGCGGCGCGCCUAACACAUGCAAGUCGAACGAGCGAGAGAGAGCUUGCUUUCUCAAGCGAGUGGCGAACGGGUGAGUAACGCGUGAGGAACCUGCCUCAAAGAGGGGGACAACAGUUGGAAACGACUGCUAAUACCGCAUAAGCCCACGACCCGGCAUCGGGUAGAGGGAAAAGGAGCAAUCCGCUUUGAGAUGGCCUCGCGUCCGAUUAGCUAGUUGGUGAGGUAACGGCCCACCAAGGCGACGAUCGGUAGCCGGACUGAGAGGUUGAACGGACACAUUGAGACUGAGACACGGCCCAGACUCCUACGGGAGGCAGCAGUGGGGAAUAUUGCAAAAUGGGGGAAACCCUGAUGCAGCGACGCCGCGUGGAGGAAGAAGGUCUGCGGAUUGUAAACUCCUGGUGUUGAGGAAGAUAAUGACGGUACUCAACAAGAAAGUGACGGCUAACUACGUG